GGAAGGAUAUUUUUAUAUGUUUUCAUAACCGCCCAAAGGCCCAUUACUCCCCAACCCUAACUACCACUACAGCCGCCACGUCUCCCCUUCUUUAUUUCUAAUUUGUGUUCUCUCUCCUCUUUCCCUCUUUCACUGUUCUUUGUUCGUUCCUCUGAAAUCUCUUUGGGAACUUUGUCCUCCCUUCUUCUCAUCGCUCGUUCAAUCAUCUCAUCAUACUUUGUUCUCAAUGACGUAGGCAACCAUCACCGCUCACAAAUUCUCUCUGUUUCUUCGCCCUCUGCAUUCACUGAUAGUGGUCAUGAUGGUGACGGUGGUCGCGAGCAAUAACGACGGUUCUUUAAUUUGGCCCCUUUUAAGGUUUAAUCUUGAGGAAAAGUCAAGGAGCUGAUCAACAUUUGAUGGGGGAGCUAUAUCGACACUUUUUAGGAUUUUUUAUCAUAAUUUGUUGUAAUGAAAUGAUAUAACGUGAUAGAAUAAAAUUUACUUUGUUUCUAUAAAUUGAAAGGAUGAUUAUUAUUCCACAUAAUAUUCAAUUAUUUAUUUUUAUAUUAUCUUUUUGUUUGUUGAAUUUUU